CUGCAUCCACUGAUAGACCUGAAGCAGCUUUUUUUGGCUUCUGGGUUUGCAAAGAGGUGCCAAACUAAACAUUCCUCGCUCUUUCUGACUGCUACAGUCCAUAGCAGCACAGAUUGAAUUGAGGAAUACAGUC